UACGCUGGCGGCACGCCUAAACAUGCAAGUCGAACGAAGUAGCAAUACUUAGUGGCAGACGGGUGAGUAACAUGUAGGUAUCUGCCCUUUGGCCUGGAAUAACACGAGGAAACUUGUGCUAAUACCGGAUAAGUCUUUACGGAGAAAGCUUUAUGCACCAUUGGAUGAGCCUGCACUAGAUUAGUUUGUUGGUGGGGUAAUGGCCUACCAAGACUGUGAUCUAUAGCUGAUUUGAGAGGAUGAUCAGCCACAUUGGGACUGAGACACGGCCCAAACUCCUACGGGAGGCAGCAGUGGGGAAUCUUGCACAAUGGAGGAAACUCUGAUGCAGCGAUGCCGCGUGAGUGAAGAAGGCCUUUGGGUUGUAAAGCUCUUUCGUCGGGGAAGAAAAUGACUGUACCCGAAUAAGAAGGU
rnacentral:rRNA from 1 species